AGAGUUUGAUCCUGGCUCAGGAUGAACGCUGGCGGCGUGCCUAAUACAUGCGAGUCGAGCGAACUGAUUAGAAGCUUGCUUCUAUGACGUUAGCGGCGGACGGGUGAGUAACACGUGGGCAACCUGCCUGUAAGACUGGGAUAACUUCGGGAAACCGAAGCUAAUACCGGAUAGGAUCUUCUCCUUCAUGGGAGAUGAUUGAAAGAUGGUUUCGGCUAUCACUUACAGAUGGGCCCGCGAUGCAUUAGCUAGUUGGUGAGGUAACGGCUCACCAAGGCAACGAUGCAUAGCCGACCUGAGAGGGUGAUCGGCCACACUGGGACUGAGACACGGCCCAGACUCCUACGGGAGGCAGCAGUAGGGAAUCUUCCGCAAUGGACGAAAGUCUGACGGAGCAACGCCGCGUGAGUGAUGAAGGCUUUCGGGUCGUAAAACUCUGUUGUUAGGGAAGAACAAGUACGAGAGUAACUGCUCGUACCUUGACGGUACCUAACCAGAAAGCCACGGCUAACUACGUGCCAGCAGCCGCGGUAAUACGUAGGUGGCAAGCGUUAUCCGGAAUUAUUGGGCGUAAAGCGCGCGCAGGCGGUUUCUUAAGUCUGAUGUGAAAGCCCACGGCUCAACCGUG
rnacentral:rRNA from 1 species